GACGAACGCUGGCGGCGUGCUUAACACAUGCAAGUCGAGCGACUGCAUUCUUUUCGGAGGGUGUAUGGAGCGGCGAACGGGUGAGUAACACGUGAGUAAUCUGCCUUUGGCUUGGGAAUAACUUCGGGAAAUCGGGGCUAAUGCCUGAUGUUUACUGUCUGCUGCAUGGUGGGUGGUGGAAAGAUUUUUUGGCCAGGGAUGAGCUCGCGGUCUAUCAGCUUGUGGUGGGGUAAUGGCUUACCAAGGCUUUGACGGGUAGCCGGCCUGAGAGGGGUGUUCGGCCACACUGGGACUGAGACACGGCCCAGACUCCUACGGGAGGCAGCAGUGGGGAAUAUUGCGCAAUGGGCGUAAGCCUGACGCAGCGACGCCGC
rnacentral:rRNA from 1 species